UACCUGGUUGCCAUAGUUCCCUGGGAGCAGAAUGAGGACACUGUGAUUGCUUCCUUUAUGUGAGGGGAAGAGAAGAAAAGGAAGCCUAGAAUGAGGAGGACAAGCAGUGCGUGCCAUGGGCCACCUCUGGAAGCUUGGUUGAGGCUUCUGAAAAAAAGCAAUGUCACACUUGACAUAGCCCUUCAGCCCAGCUGAGAUGUCAUCUGGGUCUGACAGGAUAGCC